UCAUAUAUACCACUUCUCUUCAUUGCUAAGGUGAGACCGAUGAGCAGGAGUGAUUAUACCGGACCGGUGCUUUUGGGCUUUUACUACUAUUGGGCUUUUGGGCUUCUAUCGUUUUAUCGCUUUUAUCGUUAUCGGGCCUCUAGGCCUUUGGGCUUUUAUCGUUUAUGUUAUUUCGUAUUUCGGACUCUCGGUUUAUGUCGUACUUUAUGUUUCAGAUUUUAUUUUAUAUUAUGGAA